CUUACUAGCUAGUUUAGUUAUUACAUCCCUUGGUUUAGCUAUUUUAUAAUUAAGUCGAUUAUUUAUUUGGUCAAAAUUUAAUUGAUAUGUGUUAAUUCAUCUCAUUACUUAUGAUCCAAAGCUUGUAAAGCCUAAAGCCAUUUUGGGCUUUUGUCUAGCAACCUUGCUAACCAAUUUUUUCCACAGACCAACAGCACCGUUAAAAACCAGCCCCCACUCCCUUGUCCCCCUUAUCCGAUCAAAAUGAAGUCACAAAAGAGGACCCAACGAUACCCCUCAAUCAGCAGCAUUAUACAACAUUACAGCAGCCCCAACAACCCGACCCUGUAGGUUUUCGCCUUCACGCGCAAAAUCAGAUCGACCCAGAAAAACUCAAAUCAGCGCCAAAGAAGGGAGCCACAAAGGCUCAAGUUCUUUCCAUUGGAGCACAAUUUCAUAAAAUCGACGUACAACUCCCAAAGUGAAAGAAAUCGAAGUGGCAAAGUUAAAGAAGUCGAGACCAAAAAUCCUACUUUUUAUUUUUAGAAUAUUGUAUUUUGUUAUUUUUUGGGCCUAAGCCUUUCGUAUUGUUAAUAAUUUGCUAGUUUAGGACAAGUACGAUUGAAAUGAGGCCUAAGGCCUAAAAAUAAAAAAAUGGGUCCUAAUACCGGUACAGGCGGACAGAUUUCGACCAGGCACGUAUCGAAGGAGCAAAGGAGGAGGUAGCAAUAGCAUUAGCAGGAGCAACAGGAAGUGAGCGAAAGAGAGCUUGUUCUCGAAUCAGAGUCGAAUUUGGACCCA